GUGAGUCGAGCGCGGUGAUGUGCGCGGCGCUCCCCGGGGGAGCCCUGAGCAGAAAACCUUUGUCGCGUUGUCGAACCGGGUUCGGGCCGCGUUCUCUCGUGUAUCGGAGGGAGGGUGGGGGAGUGUGCAAUUUGCAAUGUACUCGGCCCCCGAAAGGUUUGCGCAAGCCCAGCGGGAGCGGCCGCCUCUCCCCCGCGCCAGCCGGUGCCUGCGGAGCUUCCCUUGGAAAAGGGCACACGCGCCCGCCAGCGCUCCGGGCGGACUCCUCCUGCCGCCGGCGAACGGCGCUGCCGGCUCAGAGGCGCGGCGUUCAGCGCCUGUCCGAGGAGGGGCGCGGAGCUCCGGGCACUGCCACGGCGCUGACUGCCAGCCGUAGGGAGAGGCAGCUCACUCCUUCCCCAACCCUCGCCGUUCGCCUUUCUUCUAAAGGGAGAUUCAGACAGAAAGUCCCCGAUGAACUCCCACAGCUCUCUCCCCCCACCCUCUGCAAUCUCCUCGCGUCACUUAUGCGGGAAGUAAAGGCAGCGGCACGCACGCAGGGUCCGGCCGCGAUAUGGGAAAGCGAAGGGCUCUGUCGCUCGGAGUCAGUUUUUUUGGGGUCGUGACUACGAGGCGGCUCUCCGAAUCGGGUCCGAAGGGAGGGUGGAGGGAACGCAGGGACGGUCACUUCGCUGAGGCUUUCCCACGGCCACUCCGCCAUCUCUUUAACACCAGGAUAACGAAACACCCGUGGAGAGAGGGAAAGUCACUUCUGGGGUGACAGUCAUCUCAUCCUGAAGCAAAUGUAUAAACUAGGUCAGAUAAAACUUUACUUGCAAUAAAAGGAUCUGGAAGGAGACUGGCUGAGGCAUCAAUUUCGACACUGAAGAGGUCUACGUAUGGACUGGAAAGAAGUGUACAAGCAGCCACUCCUGAAACACAUCAGAAACUCUGCUUUCAGCUUCUCUUCUGGCAAUGCUGGAACUUCCAGAAGAGUCGUUGAUGCCUGCCUAAUUCUGCUGAAGCAAUCAGGAGAAGAUUCAGAUCGGAAUUACUACCAGCAGUGGAAGGGGAGAACUAGAAACAGAAGGGAGAUAUGGAUUUCCAUUCCUACUUCCAUCCACUGUAUGCUGUGGUGAGCACCAGUGCAGUUACUAAAACCCAAUGGUGACAUCGAUGGCUGAAUGUUGUUCAUGGAAGUGGCUUUAUGAUCUAGACUCACAGAGUGCUUGGUCUUCUCAUCUGCUUCCUGAGAUUUGUCUUUUGGGAUUGUUCUUUACUUCCCACGUUCAAAAGUGAACUGGGCAGCCACAUGCAUUUCUUUUACUGAACCCAGAGUAGAGAUAAGCUGUUAUUAAUUUAUUAUGGGUUUCUUCAUGAAAUGAAUACAUUUCUUUCAGCUAUUUCUUUCACUAGUUUAGAACUAAUAUAUUGCCAACACUAUUUUCCUGUAGAAAAAAGGACUGGAAGAAAUGGUACAAAAUCCAUAGCAGAGAUAGAUCCAGGAGCCAACUGCCUUCAUUUGUUUAGAUUCACUGUAGAACUCAGUGUAAUUAAAUCUGCUCCCGGUUCAGUAAGAUUGAUGGAGGAAAGAAACCUAGGAAACUUCAGGGAGGGAGAAGAGAGGUUGCAAAAAUCACCAGAUGGCGCUGGUAGAUACGGCGUGCCAGAACAACACAGGCUGUGAGCACUUCUCUGCCUCUGGACCAAGGCAACUUUAUGGCUGGAUUGCAUUGCAUGAUCUGAACAUAUGGUGCUAUGCAUUGGUGGUUUUCAUUUGGUGGUCUCCCCAAACAUAUUGCACAUAUUAUGUGUUGUACAUUUUCAGAAUUAAGAAAUAAAGUAAAAUUCAGAAAUAGAGAAUUCACACAGUUACACAUACUCCUUGGGUCCAAAAGCAAUUUAGAAAUAUAGAGUGCUGUGGUUUAACCCCGACAGGCAACUAAGCAACACACAGCUUCUUGUUUACUCCUCCCAGGUGGGAUGGGGGAGACAACUGGAAAAGAAAAACAGUGAGUACUCAUGUGUUUGAGACAAAGACAUUUUACCAGGUAAAGCAAAGGCUGUAUGCAACAAGCAAAGCAAAGAAUUCAUUCAGUACUUCCCAUCAGCAGGCUGCUGUUCAUCCAGUUCCAAGAAAGCAGGGCUCAUCACAGCAUCAUAGAAUCAUAGAAUGGCUUGACUUGAAAGGGACCACGAUGAUCAUCUAGUUUCAACCCCCCUGCUAUGUGCAGGGUCGCCAACCACGCACGCUUCAUGGUUUACUGGGAAGAAAAAUGCCAUGCUAUCACUCCGUAUAUCCUCCCUUUCUCCUUCUUUACCUCAUCUUUUAUUGUUGAUCAUGAAUCCAUACAGUAUGGAAUAUCCCUCUAGCUAGUUUAGAUCAGCUGUCCUGGUUCUGCCCCCUCCCAGCUCCUUGUACUGCCCCAGCCCCUCGCUGUCAGGGCAGCAAAAGAAACUGAAACAUCCUUGGGUCUGUGUAGUACUGCUCAACAACUAAAACACUGGUGUACUAUCACCACUGUUUUCAUCAAAAGUACAAAACACAUAAUGCAAAUUAACUCUAUCCCAGACAAACCACGUAACAGGACUAUCACUAGGGUUGGGAUGGCUCUUUUUCUUCCUCUGUAUAAAUACAUGAGGACAUUCUUCAUGUUUGGUUUUAAAUAAAAUUGUAGGGGUUUUGUUUAGAAACAUCAUAAUUUUGGAAAAUGUCAUACAGAAAUUUGAGAGAUCCUCUUUUCCUUCUGUUUGAGAAAACUGAAAACAUUAAUUCAUUUUUGACUCUUGGUAGCACAUCUUUAUUUAUUCUUUUUUUUUUUUUUAAUUUUAAAUAUGGUUUGCUAUAGUAAUUAACUUAUAGCAGAAUUCUUCCAGAACAUUAAAAUGAACAUAUGCCCCUUCUUUUUUUCCCCAUUCCUUAACAGUCUGUUCUUUUCUAAUCACAACUGGUUGGGGAAUCUGACUUCUUUUUCCAAAUCAGUGCACUGAGAAAAGUUCUACCCCUUAUAUUGUUACAGUCUCUGAUUCUUAUGUGACCCAACUUGAUCCAAUUUAGUUUGUAGAAUUUGAGAGGAUCACAGCUCAAAGGGCAGUGCUAAGUGGACUGUCUAAUUUUAACUCUUUGAUGACUUCAGAGAUGUUGCUUUGUAGGCCAAUACACACAUACCCAUCUGAGGUAGCAUCAGUAAGGUGCAGAACAACGUGGCUCUGCUCCAGCAAAGCACUUAACCAGUCGUUCAGCGUGGAGCCCCAGGGCUGAAGUGAAGAGGGAGGUACUGUGACAUGACUUGCACUAUGAACUGCAUUUAGAUUUAUGGCUAGUGUUGAUCUGAAAAUCAGGAUAGUUAAUCCAAACAUAGUGUUUAUUUUGCACUGAAAAGAGUUAUUCACAAAGGUUAACCUAACCUAAUAGAGUCACUCCCAGAGGCUCUCUGGGUAAGCCCAUCUUGCUACGCUCAUUGUAGAGGAUGUUUAGAGAGAUUAAUCUUGUGACGAUAAAGUGAGCCUUUGUGAAAACCCUUCCAAAUGUCAUGCACAUAAUAUUUUUCUGACCUACUACAUCUCUUGGACUCUGCAUAAUAUUUCUAAAAUGCUCUAAACCAUUCCAACAUUUUGGAAAGUGUUACCUCUCUGCUUAAUCCUCAGGUGGAUGGUGUAAUAUCUGAAACUGUGUUUAGAGCUGAAGCUUGCUUUCAAUGCUGGUGUUAACCACAGCUUUAUGCUUGAAAGUUUUCAAUUGUUCCCCUGGUUUAUUGACUGAAGUGUACCACUGACACAUCUGUGGAUCAUAUGAUGUUGAUUCUUUCAGUGACAGCUUCUGCAAAAGUGAUACACUUUUCCAAGUUGUUAAAGUAGCUUUAUGGUUUUCAACUCCCCUGCUUCACCUCAGUCAAAUGCAGGAACAAAGUUUGUGUUGAACAAGUGAAUACUAAGAUAUUAAUAUGGAC
ensembl:lncRNA